UUCGCUCGAAAAGCAGCAGGCACAGAUCAGGGAUACACCGGGUCACGUCGUGAUCAGCUCUGUCUCUCUUUCUCGACGAUGAAUUUGGGUGAGCCUGCCCGAGAAAGACAGUGAAGUUCCAAAGUUGGAGCAGCUGGGAUCCGGGCCACACCGGCCGGACAGCAUGCAGAAUAUUCAAAUGGAUUGUGAGCAGCAGGGUGUGCCAGGGUGGCCUACCCUGUCUGAAUGAGCUGACGAUGAUUAACCAUGCAUUGCAGAGUUAGUACGUACUAUACGUACUGCUGCAGAAUAUUGGUCUAGUCCUAGUAGGAUUAGAUACGGUGGCUUUGCACUUGCCCCUGUUUAGUUCACGAAAAAAAAAUUUGGUGUCACUUUAGACGUUUUGACUGAAUAUCGAAAUAGAUUAUAUUUGAUUGAACGUCGGAAUAGAUUUUCGCGCAUGAAUAAAAACAAACAAAUUUCAUAGUUCAUCUGAAAACCGCAAGACGAAUCUUUUUAGCCUAAUUAAUCCGUCAUUAACAUAUAUGUGUUACCAUAGUACUUAUUGUUAAUUAAUCAUGGACAAAAUAAGCUUAAAAAUUCGUCUAACGAUUUUUUCCUUAACUAUGUAAUUAUUUCUUUUAUCUAUGUUUAAUGUUUUAUUUAGGUGUCUAAAAUUUAACGUGAUGUUUUUUGGAAAAAGAUUGGGAACUAAACGGGCCCUGAGUUGUGCUUGGAAGCAUGGCUUAAUGAUUAGGGGCAUGAGACAUAGGGAUGGCUUCGGCUAUUAGUCAAUUGCUUGGUGUUUUUUUCCCAGAUUGUUAUUCUUUUCUUCCGAUUUAGAUAGAUUUGAGUAUGCGUUAUCCACUUAAUUGACCUAUAAACGGGUUGACGGACAAACCCACUUACACCCCUAGCUUUGAGAUUCAUGCAAAUCUAUACUCCCUCCGUACUCGAAUUUCUGGUCGUUCUAGGAGGAGAACAUAUUACCGUUUUUCUGUUCGUUCUGAGAGAAGUAGCCAUUUUGAGCCCAUUUUACCCCUGCAAAACACACAGUCCCAAUGCAAUUAAUACUUGACGUCGCUUUGUUUCACGAGCUGCUGCAGCCAUGCACGAAGCGUCAGGUUGAUAACCAGCCACCCAUGCACAACACCAGAGAAUAGCUCUCCAUAGCUAGGUCGCUGCUUUCUGGAGCAUGCAGCUCGCAGCGCCUUGAAGCUCGUCGCCGGCGAAGCUCAUCGCCAUGGAUGCUGCCAUCUCGCCGCGCAUGGAGGCCAAGCCAAAGGACGUUAGCAAGAGAAGCUCGUUGCCAUGGACGCCGCGCCGGAGAAGCUCGUCGCCAUCUCGCCGCGCAUGGAGGCCAAGCCAAAGGACGUUAGCUAGAGAAACUCGUCGCCAUGGACGUCGCGCUAGAGAAACUCGUCGCCAUCUCGCCGCGCAUGGAGGCCAAGACAAAGGAUGUCGCGCUGGAGAAGAUCAUGCAAAAAUACAAAAGAAAUGUAAAAAAAUACAAGACCUCGUGUUUAAGUGCUUCCUGCGCUAGCCAAUACACUGGAAAGAUAAUUCUAAUAAGAACAGACUCCAAACCAUAUUUUAUAGGGGCAUACAUGGAAAAAUAGAGCUGUACUAAUGACUUCUUGGUAUGCUAAAUCAUGUCCAAAACGACCAGAAAUUCGAGUACGGAGGGAAUAUGUACUAAAGACAUCUCCCUCCUCCAGAUCCCCAGUCUCACCCACAAACAUUUAUCCAGCAAAUUAAUGUAUUAAUUCCUCCUUUGCUCUUUUUUUAAGUCGUUAACUUUAGAACUACAUUUAACAUUUUAUCUUAUUCAAAUAUUUGUAUAAUUCUUAAUUAUUUUGUUAUAAUUUAAAUUAUUUCUAAAGUAAAUUUAUCAUAUCUGCAAAAAAAAUUAAAUAAAACGAACAUAGAUAAAAAAAUCAAUAACAUUCGAUAAAAAAAACAUACGGAGUAUAUUAUUCUCGCUGAAACCAAAUAAAUGGAUCAUAUAAGCGUUGUUCCAGUAAAAGAUACUAGCAACAAACGACUUGCCGGCUUUGCUGCCAUGUAGAUUGGCGCUCUCUCUCUCUGAGAAACCGGGAAAGCGACCAUGUGAUGGAUGCCGCUGGCGAGCGGACAACGCCGGAUUCUGGCGACCCCACCAUCGCGCGCGCUACGCCGGCCGCUUUGAGUUUCCCCCGGCCGGACGGACGGACGCACCGUCGCCAUCCCCGGCCCCCUCUUAAUUUGCUUUCUUUCUCGACCAGCCUAAACCUCUGCAUAUCUGCAGAGAUCGAUGGACGGACGCAUCGCUAUCAUCCAUGCAUGGUCCGAGCUAGCUAGCUACCCCUAUAGCUGAGCUGCUUGGUUUGCCUUUUGGUCCUCCUCGUCGUCAUGUAUUGGUAGGAGGAGCUGCUGGAUGCGAUCGAUCGAUCACCACCGGUCGGGGCGGCCGGCCGGCCUUUUCUGGCUUUUGAGAGAGAGUAUAUAGUGG
rnacentral:lncRNA from 1 species